rnacentral:rRNA from 1 species
UUUACAAGAUUUUAUUUCGACAAUUUUUUUCUUUUGGUAGAAGUAGCCGUCUUUUUUUUUUCCUCUCUUAGUGGCAGAGAGGCGUAUGUAGUGGAGCCGGCCGCGACCGUGGCUAGAGGAGGUCUCAGGUUCGGAGAAGUGGGUUUCGGUACCGGCGCGCCGCAGCGAGGGAGGAGUACGAGGACGGGGAGGAGGAGGAUGAGGAGAGGGUGAAGGAGAGGGAGCGGCGGCGGAAGGUCAGCCUGCUCGACGAGGAGGUGCUGCUACUGCUCAAGCUCCCGUGGGCCCGGAGGAGGUGGGGGAGCGGGGCCGGCGGGAGCUGCGGCGGCCAUCACAGGAGGGCGGCGGCUAGGCGCCUGCGUUGCGUCCGCCAGCCGCGGAGGCUCAGGUUGUGGCAGGUCAAGUGGGAGCUCGUGCUGGAGCCUCGGCCAGAUCCCAAGCGGGGGCGGCCCAGGAAGAGGCGGGCGGAGUUCAGGAGCCGGGUGCCGAGGGUCUGAGAAUGAUUCGAGGCUAAAUGCUCCUUACUCAACUGACUCCUACUUUUCUUACGUAAAUUCUUUAAUGACCUUCUUCUAUCAAAAAUGUGUUAUUCCGAUGGCAGAUUACACAACCUAGGAUGUUCUUUGCUAAUAUAAAUAAGGAGUUAGUUUCGCUCUACGUAAGGUGCACUGUCGAACCUACUUGUAUAACAGUAGGUGUACCUGCCACAUUUAUAAAACCGACAAUUAAUACCAAGGCAACCACCUACGGUUAUAGGGGCCGGUUACUUUCAUGGUAGUUUUACCUGUAAGUUAAGUAUGUGAUAAGACUUCUGACGACUGGUUCGUGGUUCUUGAGGUAGUAAACAUCUCGUUAAUUAUCUUUGACUUUCACCUGAGCCACUUCACUACUUUGGUGGACUCUUUAGAAAGACCCGAUUUAUAACCUACAUGUAGUAAGGAGAACCAGAGUAACAGUACUUGCGGCAGUGUCGUCGUCGUUUGUAUGGCCUCCUCGUUCGACCUCCCGUCCCAGUUCGAGGUCGUGUUUCCCACGGUUAACGACGAGGUUCCUCUUCUACUACUGAAGUAUAUAAGAAACGUACGGUAUCUAAGUGUUUCUUACCUAUCCCCUACCUAGACGAACUGGAAGGGGUCUUGUCCCCGUGAUGAUCGCCGUUGUUCUGAGUGAACAAAAAAAAAGAGCGUAAGUCUUUGAGUGGAAACAACAUCUUAGUGGAGUCUUUCCAACGCACAAGACCAGCGUAGAUGUACGCAUAAAACGGACAACUAUCUUUAGUGGUAGUCGGAAAUUGGGCCAAGUUUGACGUACGGAAUUAUAAGUCUUGAUCGAAUUAAUGGUUAUAGUUUGUGACAUACAAAACGAGUAUUGGAAGGACAUAGUUGCAAAAGCACGACGAACGUAACGGCUACCAAACUACGAAACUACAAAGGGUUCAAAGAACGCUUACGAUGAGAACCACGGACAUACAUUUACGAAUAGAGGUAUACCUGUUUUUUUUUUAGUAACUACAAAUGG